rnacentral:rRNA from 1 species
AACGAACGCUGGCGGCAUGCCUAACACAUGCAAGUCGAACGAGACCUUCGUUUCUAUUUGCUCACGGGUUCGUUACUCGUUUUAACCUUCCCUUAUUUUCGGUAUCACUCCCCUUAAUGUUUUCUAAUACCUGUUAAUUUCUUCUUCCCAAAGAUUUAUCGCCUUUGUAUGGGCCCGCGUUGGAUUAGCUAGUUGUUAGGGUAAAAGCCUACCAAGGCGACGAUCCAUAUCUGUCCUGAGAGGAUGAUCAGCCACAGUGGGACUGAGACACGGCCCAGACUCCUACGGGAGGCAGCAGUGGGGAAUAUUGGACAAUGGGCGAAAGCCUGAUCCAGCAAUGCCGCGUGAGUGAUGAAGGCCUUAGGGUUGUAAAGCUCUUUUACCCGGGAUGAUAAUGACAGUACCGGGAGAAUAAGCUCCGGCUAACUCCGUG